UCAAGAUGGAGCGGAGCUCGCGGGAGCCGGGCACGAGCGAGCAGAACGAAAAAGGCAAAGCAGUGGAAACGAAAACAGAGGGAGCUCAUUCGUCGGCUGCUGAGAGAGAAGAAAAGUAAGAUGCCAACAUGGACUGUGCUUUGAAGCCUCCGUUCCCUGUGGCAGCAAGUUGAAAGGUUGGCAAGAAAAGGAUGCCUUGCAGUUGACAAAAUUCCUUUAGCAGAGAGAAAGAAGAUUUGGCCUUUGGAAGCAAA